ACUAAGGCAUUAAUUUAGCAACAGUUUGUCAGUUUUUUCCGUUAAUCUCCCCAUUUUCUUCAACCAGCUGUAAGAAAUGAGACUCAGAACAAGUACGUUCUCAUACAGACAGGAGCAGAGAGAAACAAUCAAGGACCAGAGUGUCAACCAAGAGCCCAAGGCUGAGCAGAACAUAGGGAUAGAUCCCACGGUCAAGACUCAGAACACUUUGAUAUUCAAUCAACCUGCCAUUCAAUCAGCAUCCAUCAACUCACAGCAUGGACAUUAAGAGAAGAAAAAUUGUCCCGGAGAUGGAAUCACAGCCCUCCUAGACCCCGUCUACCCCUCCCAACCUCCUGAUGGACACACACAAAGGAAACCCAGCCUGCCCAGGAAGCUGAGGCUGUCGGU